ensembl:lincRNA
AUGUCAUUAGGACACAACCUACUUCAUUUUGUACCUCUGCUUUCCUCUGUGGCGAUUUAUUCUCGUCUCUACACUGAGGUAGAAUGGCUGUCAGCAACCUCAGGCCAACAUCCUGCCAGCUACAGACCCAGAAGGAAAGGGAAAGUGCCCGUCUGCCAACAGUCCAAGCAGAAGUCUCAUCGCACCUCACCGUGUCUCAGGCCCCUGUGGCCACCUCACUGUGAUCAGGAACACAUGGCUCUAAUUGGCUGGGCUGAGUCACCUGCCCAACCCUGGCGUCAGAAGGGGAGGCCUUUAGAGACUACCAGACCCUCUCUGAAAGAUGACAGGCCACACCCAGCAAAGCCAGAGAUUCAUCCAUCAGAUGAAUAGUUGAUUAACCACAAAUAUGCGUCAAGCACUUGCCAUGUGUACAGCACUUCAGGUUGGCACCAGGGAAGAAGUGAAGGCAACCAUGACACAGCCCCAUGCAAAGGUAAACAGAACAGUAGCCCAUAAAUAACAGUUUCGCUUAACAGGAGAAGACUGUCAUAAGGCAGUACUGGGGUGCAAGGCAAAUGAAAUAGUGAUCCAUGCUGAAUGCAAGGAAUUCAGAAGGGAAAGAGGGAAGCGUGCACAUACGUGCAUCUGUGCGUGCUUUGUUAUGGGUGUCGGCGUCCCACUGGGGAGGCAAGUUGAGUGAGAACACUGUUCAUGGGAUAAGAGGUGGGUCAGGGUGCAGGAAAUACAAGGAAGGCCCAGAGGCAAUAUAUCCAGUUAGAGCACAGAGAUUCUAGGGGUAGAGCCAAGGUCAUAUUAAGUAUUUAAUGUGAAGGAUGAGUCAAGGCAACCCGUGUGAAAUCAAGCAGUGGCCACCCUGACUUUGUUUAUUUCAACCAGUUGGCCCACCUACACACCACAUCAGACAAGUUUAAUUAAGGUCAGAUCAGAGGAAUGGCUAAUAUUUAAGCACUGGAAUCAAAUUCAACUUUAUCUCAGUUUUCCUCUUUAAAACCUGCUCCCUGUGGGCUACUAGCUUGCUAUCCAGUUUUUCAGGGGUGUGGCGAGUCCCGAAGGCAUCAGCACUUUUUCUCAAACUGUUGGCCUCAAGCGAUCCUCCUGCCAGGGCCUCCCAAACUGCUGGAAUUACAGGCAUGAGCCACUGUACCCUGCCAUCAACACAUCUUGUAAUAAUCACCUAGAACCCUUCACUCUUGCCCUUGAGAAUGGGAAAGUGAAAGGCCUCCUAAUUUAGAGACCUACUAGACCGUGAAACAAAAGGGUCAGCUUCUGGUCAUUGAAAAGAAACUGAACCCAACCACGCUUGUUCUGGCCCCUGAAUCCUGAAUGUCCUACAGCUUGUUUCUGUUCUCAUUCUGUUUCCUUCUGGGUCUUCAUUCCCUUACAUGAGGUCUUGCCCCUAACCAUUGGACCUGGAUGAAGUGAAGCAUAAGGAAGGGGUUGAAGAAAGUGGUUAAGAACUAAGGACAACAGCAAAAAAAAGGUUCAUUCUCUGUGGUUCCUGGCAUGCAUUGUAGAAGUGGGCGUGGCUUUUUAAAGUAUUGACUGGGUUGGACCAUUUGUCAGUAUAAAAUGGCAUAAAAUAGUAUUGAUAUGUUUGUUGCGUUUACAUUUUAUCAAGAUGUGAUCUAAUUGAAGUCUUUUUUUUUGAGACAGAGUCUCACUUUGUUGCCCAGGCUAGAGUGAGUGCUGUGGCGUCAGCCUAGCUCACAGCAACCUCAAACUCCUGGGCUCAAGCGAUCCUUCUGCCUCAGCCUCCCAAGUGGCUGGGACUCCAGGCAUGUACCACCAUGCCCGGCUAAUUUUUUCUAUAUAUAUUAGUUGGCCAAUUAAUUUCUUUCUAUUUAUAGUAGAGACUGGGUCUCACUCUUGCUCAGGCUGGUUUUGAACUCCUGACCUUGAGCAAUCUGCCCGCCUUGGCUUCCCAGAGAGCUAGGAUUACAGGCGUGAGCCACUGCGCCCGGCCUAAUUGAAGUCUUUAGUACUAAUAAUUUCAUUUUUCUAUUUUACACAUCAUUCUGUAUAAAACACGGAUAUCGUUGCAGACCUAGUUGCUCUGUAUUUCUUAAUGUCUCCAGUUAGUGGUUGUGAGGUGUCAUCAAGCCACUUCUUUCUUGUGUUACUUUGAGAGAAGGGAUGAGGGAACGAAAAUAGCAGGAUGAGCAAUGGAAAAAGGAGGGAGCAGGGUUUUAACCUUGGUCCCCAAGAGGCAGCAAAGGAAAAACAACCCACAAAGCAAAUGAGAAAUCCAGAAAGUCAUUGAAAGGAGAGGGAAACGCCUCAGGAAAUGCAAGAGAAAGCAAAGGCAGAGGAGAGGAAAUAGAUAGAGCCUGACAGUCCCAGGCAUGGGCACUAAUGGGACUGGGAUAGUCCCAAUGGGAGGUGGAGGCAUUUUCCAGAAAGAUUAAAGCCGGUCACUGCUGGAGACAAAAAGGAUGUUGGAAGUAGAGGACAUCAUGAGAUGACUGCUCUGCCAUGGUCCACGUACUAGGUGCCAGCUGCAGUGAAGUCCUUUGAGUAGGAGCUAAGAACGGAAACUGAUCCUCUACAUGGCAGACGCAUACUGCAGAGCCUGGAAUUAAAUCCAACACGGAUCCCUUAAAGAAACACAAAGCAGUGUACGGAGGUACAGAGGUACAUUUCCAACAGCUGCCUGGGUGUUCAGGGUUGCAGCUGGGCUGAGCUGGGGGUCUCUGUAGAUUCAAAUGGACCGAGCCUUUGACCACAAAGGAGAAGGGAACGGGAAUUUGUUGAGCACCACAACAAUGCCAUGAAGAGGAUCCUAUUACCUCCACUUCACAGGUGAGCGAAGAGAUGGAGCAUACGGUGACAAUACAUUAUUCAUCCCUGCCCAAGGUCACGCUGCGCAGGAGUGUGACGCUGGGAUUUAAACCCCAGCCUUUCCAUCCCCAAGCCUUACCGCUUACAUCAUGCUGGGCACUGUUUCAUUUUUUGAAAUCUCACCUAGGGCUAACUUCUUUAUAUACUUUCUCUGAGCUAUAACAGGAUCCAGCCAUGUGCUUAAGUGUCAGCAUGUCAGCAUUUCAAAAACUGCCACUUCCACAUGACCCUAACACCUAGAGCUAAAAUUGGACGGGAGCUCAGAGCCCAGGCAUCUCUUUCCUUUCCUGAUGAUUUCAUGGGGUGGUGGUGCGGCAGGGAGCCCUGAGUGGGUAGAGUCCAGAUUAGGAAAUAUAUCCUUAACUGGCACUUUGGCUUGUGCUCAUGUAUUUCUUUCCUUAUGUCCAUAACCUUAUUUAAGAAAUAUAGACCCCGGAAGAGGAAAC